CGCCGGGCCCGCGCCGCGACCCCCGCGGGCCGCCGGGAGCGCCCCCCGCCCCAGAAAUGAGCCAUUUACGGGGAUUUUGGCGUCUUCUUGCAAAUCAAAAAAAAAAAAAUGGUGCGAGGGAAACAAUACGGGUAUAUCUGGGCUGGAAGGCUCCUGGCGGGGCAGGCAGCGCUGAGCGAGCUCCCGACGGCUUCGGCCUCGCCGCGCCCCGGCUCCCCCGCGCCCGGCGCAGGGUGUCCCGUGCGGGGGCGGGCGAGGCUGCCGAGAGCGCUCGCCCUCUGCGCCCCGGGCCGCGCAGCAGCCAGGUGAAGAUGGCUAAUUAUGAACCACACAGACAGUGAAGACUGCACACUUCACCAAGAGACCAAGAUACAGGCUACAGUUUUUCACAAGGAGAAAGAAGAUAACGCUUCUUCUUCAUAAGAAGAAAAUGUAUAAAAAUCAGUCAUGGAUUUAGCAUGUGAAGCAAUGGCCUCCAUCAAUCCCUCUCCUGCAUCCCUGUGCUGUAGCUGUGGAACCUCAUCCAUUACUGCCAUGCUGUGGGUCCACCUUAGUCCCUCAACUCAGGGUGCUGGUUGGAGGGAGCUGGAUGCUGCAGAAAGCAAACAUAUCCUGGAGACCUGCCUAUGAAACACAGGACCUAGCACAGGCUGAGAGAUCAAACUGGUUCCCUUUGGACUGGGCAUACUUCUGAGGGGAAUGAAUUUGGUACAGAGGACUAAUUGAGUGAGUCACUGGUAAGACUUCAACGUUGUGAGUAGGAACAAAAAUCUCAGUGGAACAGUACAAUAAUUAUUUAAACUUUUUAAAUUAUAAUUUGUAAUGAAGAAAAAGAGAACCCUUCAUCCAAAGGAAAUUUUACAGCAUUGAUUGCUCUGACAUGAGCAGCAGACAAUAAGGGAGGUGCCAGCCCAGGAAAAUGUGUGUGGAGCCAUUGACACACAUGGAAAGAUAAAAACUAAAAAACCCAAGUGAACUCUCUGGCAUAACUGUAGACAAUAUUGCAGCUGAUGACAAUAAAGCUCCCACACUAAUACUUCAGUAGGAAAAGGUGCUAAUAAAGAGCUUAUUGAAAAGCACACAGAAUCAAAGCUUGAUCUGUAUUUAGAACAACUGAGUUUCAGAGCAUGCAUGGAGCUGCCACCUGAGGACACUUUUUCCAACAGAAAACAGAAACCCAGACUAGCUGCAUUAUUAGACACUGGGGACUUGUAAAAAUGGAGGCUGAGAAAGCAAAGCAAACUUCUCAGUCAAACUCAGCGCUGUCAAAUCCAUCCCAUCCUGGAAUGAGUGAGAGCCAGUACUAAACUUCAUGGGGGCUCUGAGUUUCCUGGAAAUUGCAGAUGUUUAUUUUUUACAGUAAUUGCUAUAUAAGUGGUCCUUUAAUUUUCUUCUAUACAUCCUCUUAAUAGUCUCUGCAGACCCAUCAGCCUUCACUGGUUAUUAUCCCUGACCUGAUCCAUUAGGUCGACUUGUAUUACAGCAAGUAACACAAGUCUUUAUUUUAUAUUACACAAAUAGGAUCAGGCAAAUGCAAACAUCAAAUGUGCGGUGUUAGAAAUAUGCAACUGUAAACAUAUUUUUGUUGGGCAAAAUAUGCAAAUACUUAAACAGAUGAAGGAAAAUAGCCCUCCUAUCAAAGGUCUUAGGCUCUCAAAACCAGAGAAUUCAAAAAUUGUCACCAGGAGGAACAGAAUUGCAAAAAGCACAGGAAAGAACCACGUGUUUGUCACAUUGUCACGGCCCAUCACCUACUGCACUUCAGAGCAGCAGAUUGUGAUGGGGAGAAAGUUUUUAGCAGGGCCUGUUGUAAUGAACAACAAAGGUACAAAGGCUAAUGGCUCGAUUAGGCUCGAUUAGAUACAAGGAAGUUUUUAUGAUGAGGUGGUAAAGCACCGGAACAGGUUGGCCAGAGAGGUGGUGAACGUCCCAUCUCUAGAAACAUUCAGGCUGCUCACGCUGCUCUAGCGGAAAGUGCAGGGGAGUUGGGCUCGAGGGGCCAAGUUCCCUCACAAGCCGAGCGUUCAGCGCCCCGGUGAUGACGGCCGCUGUGCGGUGGCGGUGCCGGUGGCGGUGGCGGUGCCGGUGCCGGUGCCGGUGCCGGUGCCGGUGCGGGCCCGCCGCCGCCAGCGCUGGCAGCCCCGCAGCGCUCACGGGCGGCCGCAGCCAGCGCGGCCGGGCCCCGCGG
rnacentral:lncRNA from 1 species